CUUAAAUAUUGGCUUAUUGGCAAGUCUGGCACUGAAGCGAUAGCGGAGAUUGUCCAAGGAAUGGAGCAGGAUGUGGGCUGAAAGGAAGUGAACCAUGAGCAUGAGUCUACUGUGCCCAGCAGAAGAGAAAAGUGUGACUUUUGUUUACAAUUAGUACAGCUAAUGCUGUGCAGGGUCAUGUGGGUCGGAAGAAGAAGAUUUCUCUUCAACAUGGAGAAAGAAGAGGGUUUACAGUGCUCCACUGGGGAAAAGGGCUUUUGUCUUUGUUGAUGACCUAAACAUGCCUGCCAAGGAGAAAUAUGGUGCCCAGCCUCCCAUUGAACUGCUGCAGCAAUGGAUUGACCAUGGCUACUGGUUUGACAGGUGCAAUAAAUAUUAAUUAGUGUGCUUGGCUACAGAGGAGUAAUGAUAUACACUGUUUCUCUGAAGCGUUAAAUUGUAGUGUUAGUCUUUUAUAAUUCCUCAUCUUCUCAGUCACAACAGGAAAACACUCUGAGUUACAUGACUCCCUGUAUAGGAAAAGGAAUAAAAGCUUAUAUGUUGCAGUGAAUUACAGCAUGAGAAAGGCAAGCUUAUAUGGGAGAGAAGCACAACAUGCAUUUUCAUGUUUUUGAGAAAACACCAUCAGUAUUUAAGUUGGCACAAAAGAGUUUCAAAUAAAUUUUUAGCUCUUGGCUGUUAAGGACUAAAAUAAAAUCAUUUGUCUUUCAGUGAAUGACUUUAAGGUUAAAAUGCAGUUGAAGAUGCUUUUCUAACAUGCAGCCACGGUCUAGAGGGAGCGUGUGUAAUAGACUCGGGCAUUUUUCUGCAUGAUUCAGGAUAAUGCUGGUUGUUAGAAAGACCUCAAAUUCUCCCUUGCUUAUGUCUCACAUGUCUGGAUUUAAAAGAAGUUUAUGUUGUUUUAGAACAAGCCUAGUUAAUUUGUGGCUUUAAAGAAAAUGAGAUCUGAACAGAAAGAGUGAAAUAGAACCUUGCCAUGGAGGCGCCAUUAUCAGAAAAAUGUAACCAUACUUUAUGAUAAAUUUAAUUAUA